rnacentral:lncRNA from 1 species
UGCUUGUAUAUUUGGAAGUAGAAAAUUACCAAACUCCUGAAAUUGCGGUCUGGCCUAAAUAAAUUGAUACUAGUUGUAACAUGGAUCCAGCAAUCCUUUAAGAGAUUCGUCUCUAAAAAAACGUAAUCACCACUCACGCCCACGCUUCGUCUCCGAUUUCUUCAUUUCCUUUCGCCUCUACUCCUUGCACACGGGGAGGGGGAGAUGCUGGAUCAAUUUCCUUUGUAUCAAAAAAAAAAUACAUGUAAAAAAUCAUUUCAGAUGAUCAGUGAAGGCUAGCAUAUCAUAUCUCUUUUCUUUGCUAAUGAAAAUUAGAUGUGUUUAUGGUUUU